ACAAUCUCAAUCAACAUUUCAAAAAUCGUCUGCGAAAUCUCUACUACAUGACUGAAACACGUAACUAUCUGAAAACUGGGACAAGGCCCCAGUAGACCCAAAAACUGAAUAUAAGAUAAAAAGGACUGCAGGACUUAAGACCUUCCGAAACAUAGGAGGCUCACCACUUGUCUCUACAGCUCUAUCUGAAGGUUCUACUGAUUCUCUUGAUCCCUAGACUGGGCCUCUGAACCUGAUGGGUUGGAGAGGGGAGGGGGUCAGCACAAAAGUACUGGCACGCAGAGAUAUCAAAGCAAAACAUAAUUUUUUUUUUUUACAAGAUAUAGUUGAGAGCAAUUAUAAAGCAAUUUCGUAUCAAAUCAUUUGAAAACACAUGGGUGUAAUGCAAUAGUUUUUCUCAACAAUAAUGAAAUGCAACUGAGCUAGGUGGAAUACCCUACAUAAUUUACUCCAACUGUCAAACCUCAGUUGUCGCCGAGAUUAGAGUAUAAGUGAGGGGAAGACACACAAGACCACACAGCAGGGUGUCUCGACCCAAUGGUAGUGCACAAGACCACAAAGCAUGGCUCCUAACCAUAAUCCCAAUUUGGGAUAAUAUAAUAUUAGGUACGCAAGACCACAAAGCAUGGUACCGAUAUUCCGUGUCGGCAAACACGUUCUUCCAGCGAUGAGCCGCUUGUGUCUCAAACGCCUUCUUCGGGCAUCCACCUUUCUCAUGUAAAAUCAAUGCAUUCAAAUUUCAUNNNNNNNNNNNNNNNNNNNNNNNNNNNNNNNNNNNNNNNNNNNNNUUGCAAGUCAUCAAUAUCAUAUCCACAUAUGCAUAAUCAUGUAAAAACCAAGGUGCUUCAUCAUUUACAAGUAGUGAACAAUAGUUAUUUCAAAUUCAUGCUCUCUUUUGUUGAUCACAAUAUAAUAUGGAGUAUCGAAACAUUAUCAUGGGAAUUUGAAAACAAUUUAUCAUUCAUAUUUAUCAACUUCCAUGGAAAAUCUCAAAUCACAUAUGCAUGGUUUCAACCAUUGAAGUAUAUAGACAAACAAUUCCCAUGACAUAAAGAAAACGAUUUAGAAAUCAUAUUGAAAGUAAGAAAUUAACAUUUGAUUGAAAACCCCAUUUAAAAGCAUGCAUGUUCAUAAAACUACACCCAUGAGAUUUUUGGAUAACCCCACGUACCUCUAUUUCCGAAGAUACUAGAUGUUUCUUGAAGCUUGCGGAUUGGUGAUUCCAAAUAUGUAAUUAUUUUUGAAAACCUACGAUCGAAUUUUGAACUAUUUGGAUUUUUAUUUUGAAACCCUAAGGAGAGUUUUUGAGCAAUUUUGGGGAAAGUAUGUGUAUUAUGCUGUUU
rnacentral:lncRNA from 1 species